rnacentral:rRNA from 1 species
UUCUUUAAAUGGGGACUUGUAUCAACGGCAUCACGAGGGUUACACUGUCUCCUUUUUCUAAUCAGUGAAACUAAUCUCCCCGUGAAGAAGCGGGGAUACUAAUAUAAGACGAGAAGACCCCAUGGAGCUUCAAACCCAACUACACCCCCAACCCCUAUAACUACUAAAUCCUUGAGGCCCUGUAUCGUUGGUUUUAGGUUGGGGCGACCACGGAGUACAACAAAACCUCCACAAUGAACGGAAUUAAUUCCUAAUCUAAGAACUACAUCUCUAAGAAUUAAAAUACUAACAUAAAAUGAUCCAUUUUUUGAUUAAUGAACCAAGUUACCCUGGGGAUAACAGCGCAAUCCAUUUCAAGAGCCCCUAUCGACAAAUGGGUUUACGACCUCGAUGUUGGAUCAGGGUAUCCUAGUGGUGCAGCAGCUACUAACGGUUCGUUUGUUCAACGAUUAAAACCCU